UACAGAGGUCUCAAGCGUUGUUCGGAUUCACUGGGCGUAAAGGGAGCGUAGGCGGGUUCUUAAGUAAGGUGUUUAAUCCCGGGGCCCAACCCCGGACCGGCACUUUAAACUGGGAAUCUUGAAUAGUGGAGAGGUCGGUGGAAUUGGGGGUGUAGCGGUGGAAUGCGUAGAGAUCCCCAAGAACACCAGUUGCGAAGGCGGCCGACUGGACACAUAUUGACGCUGAGGCUCGAAAGCAUGGGGAGCAAACAGGG
rnacentral:rRNA from 1 species